UACAUGCAGUCGAGCGAACUGAUUAGAAGCUUGCUUCUAUGACGUUAGCGGCGGACGGGUGAGUAACACGUGGGCAACCUGCCUGUAAGACUGGGAUAACUUCGGGAAACCGAAGCUAAUACCGGAUAGGAUCUUCUCCUUCAUGGGAGAUGAUUGAAAGAUGGUUUCGGCUAUCACUUACAGAUGGGCCCGCGGUGCAUUAGCUAGUUGGUGAGGUAACGGCUCACCAAGGCAACGAUGCAUAGCCGACCUGAGAGGGUGAUCGGCCACACUGGGACUGAGACACGGCCCAGACUCCUACGGGAGGCAGCAGUAGGGAAUCUUCCGCAAUGGACGAAAGUCUGACGGAGCAACGCCGCGUGAGUGAUGAAGGCUUUCGGGUCGUAAAACUCUGUUGUUAGGGAAGAACAAGUACGAGAGUAACUGCUUGUACCUUGACGGUACCUAACCAGAAAGCCACGGCUAACUACGUGCCAGCAGCCGCGGUAAUACGUAGGUGGCAAGCGUUAUCCGGAAUUAUUGGGCGUAAAGCGCGCGCAGGCGGUUUCUUAAGUCUGAUGUGAAAGCCCACGGCUCAACCGUGGAGGGUCAUUGGAAACUGGGGAACUUGAGUGCAGAAGAGAAAAGCGGAAUUCCACGUGUAGCGGUGAAAUGCGUAGAGAUGUGGAGGAACACCAGUGGCGAAGGCGGCUUUUUGGUCUGUAACUGACGCUGAGGCGCGAAAGC
rnacentral:rRNA from 2 species